rnacentral:sRNA from 1 species
UAUCUAAGUUUGAACAAGAUCUUGGAAGGAAAGACAAGAAAAAUAGCUGCUCGAAUGUUCUACGAGACACUGGUGAUUGAUUCUCAAUAGAUUUCUAUUCGUUUUAUCUCUCUAUGCAUUGCCUCUAAUUGAGAUUUGAAGAUGUAGUUGCUGCUGAUGGAGUUGUUGAAUGAUACAAGAAGUAAUACGCGAUUUUAUCUGAUGGAAUUUCUGAAUGAUUCAAGAAGUAAUUCAGGAUGCGACAGUUUUGUGUGAGUGUCGGUUUCUAGAAGAUUUGAGAAGAGCGUGUUUAGAGGAUGAAACAAAAAGGAAAAAGGACUUAAAGAGAUUUGGAAGACUUGAUGAAAGUGGAGUUUGAUGAGAAAAAGGAAAAGAGUAAAAAGGAAAUUUACUUUUUCUUACAGAAAAAGGAAAUCUUCUCCUAUGGUGAUUAGGCAAUCGUUUUGACUAUAUAAAGAGGUGCUAGGACGUCUUGGAGAGGCAGGAGAGCUGAGGCAUAAAGACAAAUCAUUGAGAGCUUUCUAAGGGUGUGUGCGACAUAGUUUCGCGGUUUUAUGCGACAUAGUUUCGCAGGUUUGGUGCUUGUGUGAUCAAGCUUGUUUGGUGGUGUGUGAAAGUUGUUCCAGAA